rnacentral:rRNA from 1 species
AGAGUUUGAUCAUGGCUCAGGACGAACGCUGGCGGCAUGCUUCAUACAUGCAAGUCGCACGAGCUUCCGUUGAAUGACGUGCUUGCACUGAUUUCAACAAUGAAGCGAGUGGCGAACUGGUGAGUAACACGUGGGGAAUCUGCCCAGAAGCAGGGGAUAACACUUGGAAACAGGUGCUAAUACCGUAUAACAACAAAAUCCGCAUGGAUUUUGUUUGAAAGGUGGCUUCGGCUAUCACUUCUGGAUGAUCCCGCGGCGUAUUAGUUAGUUGGUGAGGUAAAGGCCCACCAAGACGAUGAUACGUAGCCGACCUGAGAGGGUAAUCGGCCACAUUGGGACUGAGACACGGCCCAAACUCCUACGGGAGGCAGCAGUAGGGAAUCUUCCACAAUGGACGAAAGUCUGAUGGAGCAAUGCCGCGUGAGUGAAGAAGGGUUUCGGCUCGUAAAACUCUGUUGUUAAAGAAGAACACCUUUGAGAGUAACUGUUCAAGGGUUGACGGUAUUUAACCAGAAAGCCACGGCUAACUACGUGCCAGCAGCCGCGGUAAUACGUAGGUGGCAAGCGUUGUCCGGAUUUAUUGGGCGUAAAGCGAGCGCAGGCGGUUUUUUAAGUCUGAUGUGAAAGCCUUCGGCUUAACCGGAGAAGUGCAUCGGAAACUGGGAGACUUGAGUGCAGAAGAGGACAGUGGAACUCCAUGUGUAGCGGUGGAAUGCGUAGAUAUAUGGAAGAACACCAGUGGCGAAGGCGGCUGUCUAGUCUGUAACUGACGCUGAGGCUCGAAAGCAUGGGUAGCGAACAGGAUUAGAUACCCUGGUAGUCCAUGCCGUAAACGAUGAGUGCUAAGUGUUGGAGGGUUUCCGCCCUUCAGUGCUGCAGCUAACGCAUUAAGCACUCCGCCUGGGGA